rnacentral:rRNA from 1 species
CCCUUAGACACUCUAGGCGGCACGCGCGCUACAAUGGGUGGAAGACUGUGUUACCGCCCUCGAAAGAGGGGGUGAAUCACGAAUUCUCACCCGUGAAUGGGAUAGUUUGUUGCAAUUUUCGGACUUGAACUAGGAAUCCCUUGUAAGCAUGCUCAAGAAUAGUGUGCUGAAUACGUCCCUGCCGUUUGUACACACCGCCCGUCGUUUCUUCCGACUGAUACGAAUUGUGAGUUGCAAGGACCUUCAGGGGGAAUUGCCGCGAAUGCUUCGUAUUGGAGGAAGAAAAAGUCGUAACA